rnacentral:rRNA from 1 species
GACGAACGCUGGCGGCGUGCCUAAUACAUGCAAGUAGAACGCUGAAGGAGGAGCUUGCUUCUCUGGAUGAGUUGCGAACGGGUGAGUAACGCGUAGGUAACCUGCCUGGUAGCGGGGGAUAACUAUUGGAAACGAUAGCUAAUACCGCAUAAUAGCAGUUGUUGCAUGACAACUGUUUGAAAGGUGCAAUUGCACCACUACCAGAUGGACCUGCGUUGUAUUAGCUAGUUGGUGGGGUAACGGCUCACCAAGGCGACGAUACAUAGCCGACCUGAGAGGGGGGUCGGCCAAACUGGGACUGGGACACGGCCCAGACUCCUACGGGAGGCAGCAGUAGGGAAUCUUCGGCAAUGGACGGAAGUCUGACCGAGCAACGCCGCGUGAGUGAAGAAGGUUUUCGGAUCGUAAAGCUCUGUUGUAAGAGAAGAACGAGUGUGAGAGUGGAAAGUUCACAAUGUGACGGUAUCUUACCAGAAAGGGACGGCUAACUACGUG